rnacentral:rRNA from 1 species
AUACGUAGGGGGCGAGCGUUGCCCGGAAUUAUUGGGCGUAAAGGGUUCGCAGGCGGUCCUUUAAGUCAGAUGCGAAAGACAUAGGCUCAACCUAUGUAAGCAUUUGAAACUGAAGGACUUGAGUUAAGGAGAGGAAAGUGGAAUUCCUAGUGUAGCGGUGAAAUGCGUAGAUAUUAGGAGGAAUACCAGUGGCGAAGGCGACUUUCUGGACUUAUACUGACGCUGAGGAACGAAAGCGUGGGGAGCAAACAGGAUUAGAUACCCUGGUAGUCCACGCCGUAAACGAUGAGUGCUAGGUGUUGGGGGUCAAACCUCGGUGCCGCAGCUAACGCAUUAAGCACUCCGCCUGGGAAGUACGGUCGCAAGACUAAA